CACACCGCCCGUCACACCAUGGAAGUCAGUUGCUCCAGAAGUGUCCGCGCUAACCCGCAAGGGAGGCAGGACCCUAAGGAGUGACUGGUAACUGGGGUG
rnacentral:rRNA from 1 species